rnacentral:rRNA from 1 species
GACGUAGGGCGCGAGCGUUGUCCGGAUUUAUUGGGCGUAAAGAGCUCGUAGGCGGCUUGUCGCGUCGACUGUGAAAUCCCGCGGCUCAACUGCGGGUCUGCAGUCGAUACGGGCAGGCUAGAGUUCGGUAGGGGAGACUGGAAUUCCUGGUGUAGCGGUGGAAUGCGCAGAUAUCAGGAGGAACACCGAUGGCGAAGGCAGGUCUCUGGGCCGCAACUGACGCUGAGGAGCGAAAGCAUGGGGGAGCGAACAGG